rnacentral:rRNA from 1 species
AAUCAACGCUGGCGGCGUGCCUAACACGUGCAAGUCGAACGAGAAAGUGGAGCAAUCCAUGAGUAAAGUGGCGCACGGGUGAGUAACACGUGACUAACCUACCCUUGAGUGGGGGAUAACCUAGGGAAACCUGGGCUAAUACCGCAUAAUACCUACGGGUCAAAGGAGCAAUUCGCUUUGGGAGGGGGUCGCGGCCGAUUAGUUAGUUGGCAGGGUAAUGGCCUACCAAGACGAUGAUCGGUAUCCGGCCUGAGAGGGCGCACGGACACACUGGAACUGAAACACGGUCCAGACUCCUACGGGAGGCAGCAGUGGGGGAAGUUUUGUCGCCAAUGGGGGGAAACCCCUGACGCAGCAACGCCGCGUGGAGGAUGAAGUCCCUUGGGACGUAAACUCCUUUCGAUCGGACGAUAAUGACGGUACCGGAAGAAGAAG